rnacentral:rRNA from 1 species
GAUGAACGCUAGCUACAGGCUUAACACAUGCAAGUCGAGGGGCAGCGCAGUGUAGCAAUACAUGGGCGGCGACCGGCGCACGGGUGCGUAACGCGUAUCCAACCUUCCCGUUACUCAGGGAUAGCCUUCCGAAAGGGGAGAUUAAUACCUGAUGGUGUUUGAAUUCCGCAUGUUAUUCAAACUAAAGAUUUAUCGGUAACGGAUGGGGAUGCGUGACAUUAGAUAGUAGGCGGGGUAACGGCCCACCUAGUCUACGAUGUCUAGGGGUUCUGAGAGGAAGGUCCCCCACACUGGAACUGAGACACGGUCCAGACUCCUACGGGAGGCAGCAGUGAGGAAUAUUGGUCAAUGGUCGGAAGACUGAACCAGCCAAGUAGCGUGAAGGAUUACAGCCCUACGGGUUUUAAACUUCUUUUAUACGGGAAUAAACCUCCACGUGUGGGGGCUUGUAUGUACCGUAUGAAUAAGCAUCGGCUAACUCCGUG